rnacentral:rRNA from 1 species
UCAUGCCUACGGGGCGCAGCAGUGAGGAAUAUUGGUCAAUGGACGCAAGUCUGAACCAGCCAUGCCGCGUGCAGGAAGACGGCUCUAUGAGUUGUAAACUGCUUUUGUACGAGGGUAAAUGCAGGUACGUGUAUCUGUUUGAAAGUAUCGUACGAAUAAGGAUCGGCUAACUCCGUGCCAGCAGCCGCGGUAAUACGGAGGAUGCGAGCGUUAUCCGGAUUUAUUGUGUUUAAAGGGUGCGUAGGCGGUCCGUUAAGUCAGCGGUAAAAUU